rnacentral:lncRNA from 1 species
GAGUCCACUAUAUUGAAAUCAUUGCCUUAGUGGAGCACCACAAGACAAUUACCCAAAGAGGGGGUGAGACAGCAUCGGGAAAGUGCCAUCCUGUUUGUCAAGUGAGCAAACACUAGGGGAGUUGUCUCGGGGGAUUUUCUAACCUUUCAGAGGCACAGUCUACUCUGAACGCAUCUAUAAUGGAAAGUUAGCAUUUGAGAGAAAUGAGUGAAUCUCACUUCUCGAUGGUUCAGACCACUGAGAACACUGUACUUUUGAAUAUUAGCUUUUCAGCUAUUUGUUCAAAACUAAUCAGGCCAAAAUAUGUCUUAUGUCUAUGAGUGAUGAGUCUUGGUUGAUGGAGAUAAUUUUUAAAUUAAACACACCCGGAUUUUACAUCUAAUGGAAUGACUUCCCUUCAAUGAAGUCUUUUCGGGAGGACAACCUGUUACUCCAGCCAAUAUUUUGGAAACAUUUUCAGUCUUUUGGGUUAUUUUCUGAGGUGAGAAAUCUUUAUUCUUUAUCAUUAUUAUUUCAG